UAGGGAAUCUUCGGCAAUGGGGGCAACCCUGACCGAGCAACGCCGCGUGAGUGAAGAAGGUUUUCGGAUCGUAAAGCUCUGUUGUAAGAGAAGAACGUGUGUGAGAGUGGAAAGUUCACACAGUGACGGUAACUUACCAGAAAGGGACGGCUAACUACGUGCCAGCAGCCGCGGUAAUACGUAGGUCCCGAGCGUUGUCCGGAUUUAUUGGGCGUAAAGCGAGCGCAGGCGGUUUAAUAAGUCUGAAGUUAAAGGCAGUGGCUUAACAAUUGUUCGCUUUGGAAACUGUUAAACUUGAGUGCAGAAGGGGAGAGUGGAAUUCCAUGUGUAGCGGUGAAAUGCGUAGAUAUAUGGAGGAACACCGGUGGCGAAAGCGGCUCUCUGGUCUGUAACUGACGCUGAGGCUCGAAAGAGUGGGGAGCAAACAGG
rnacentral:rRNA from 1 species